UGUCUCUGUAUGUGGCUGAGUGUCUCUGUAUGUGGCUGAGUGUCUCUGUAUGUGGCUGAGCGUCUCUGUAUGUGGCUGAGCGUCUCUGUAUGUGCCUGAGCGUCUCUGUAGGUGGCUGAGCGUCUCUGUGUGUGGCUGAGCGUCUCUGUGUGUGGCUGAGCGUCUCUGUAUGUGCCUGAGUGUCUCUGUAUGUGGCUGAGCGUCUCUGUAUGUGGCUGAGCGUCUCUGUAGGUGGCUGAGCGUCUCUGUAGG